GAUGAACGCUGGCGGCGUGCCUAAUACAUGCCAGUCGAGCGAACAGACGAGGAGCUUGCUCCUCUGACGUUAGCGGCGGACGGGUUAGUAACACGUGGAUAACCUACCUAUAAGACUGGGAUAACUUCGGGAAACCGGAGCUAAUACCGGAUAAUAUAUUGAACCGCAUGGUUCAAUAGUGAAAGACGGUUUUGCUGUCACUUAUAGAUGGAUCCGCGCCGCAUUAGCUAGUUGGUAAGGUAACGGCUUACCAAGGCAACGAUGCGUAGCCGACCUGAGAGAGUGAUCGGCCACACUGGAACUGAGACACGUUCCAGACUCCUACGGGAGGCAGCAGUAGGGAAUCUUCCGCAAUGGGCGAAAGCCUGACGGAGCAACGCCGCGUGAGUGAUGAAGGUCUUCGGAUCGUAAAACUCUGUUAUUAGGGAAGAACAAAUGUGUAAGUAACUAUGCACGUCUUGACGGUACCUAAUCAGAAAGCCACGGCUAACUACGUG
rnacentral:rRNA from 1 species